GAGAUGAUGACUAUGAGAGUCUUCCAAAUGCUGAUGCUGAAAUAGAUCCUCCUUGCCAGGAAGCAAAUAACAAACUUUAGCUGCAAAGAACUUCGAGAAAUCAGUAUCCACUGCGACCCACGUAGUGAUAAAAGGGCCCAAAUCAUCACGCGCAUCUUAUCAGCCCAUCUUUGUCCUCUCUCUGAAAUCAAAAUCUGGCCCAUUACCACUUAGGUUUAGGAUGGUGAUCAGGAUUUGGUGACCUGGUAGCUAUCUGACCAUGGGUUAGAGCCUAUGGCACUUGGAAGGCUUGCUAUUUGUCGGAUCGAUGACAGUACUCGUGACUUGGCAAGUGCAACUGCCAUGUACCUGACCGCUGUCUUCGGUCAGCGUAUCGCUUGCUACCUUAAUUUGAUGCUUUUGCUGACCCUUUCUGGCUUAAUGUUUUUCUUCGCCGUCUUGCACCUAGCAUGGCAGAAAUAACACCAGUUGUCUGGUCAACUAUGUUUGUAAUUCAGCGUGUGGUAAAAAUGGUGCACGCUGGUCAUGCAGCUUGAUUCUUGUCCAA